rnacentral:rRNA from 1 species
UCAGCAGUGAGGAAUAUUGGUCAAUGGCCUAACGGCUGAACCAGCAACUUGCAGGAAUGAGAGUUAAUAUAAUAAGUUUAUUAACUUGCUUGACUAGGUCUUAUAAAGUUCUGGAUAAAGCUUAUUAUGAAAACUUUAUAUCCAUAGGUCUCGACCAAAUCUUGUGCCAGCAGUCGCGGUAAGACAAGGGAGACGAGUGUUAUUCAUCUUUAACAGGUAUAUAGGGUACCUAGACGGUGUGCAAUGGCUUAAAUAAGUACCUGGUACACUUGAGUUUGAUAUGUGAGAGGAAUAUGUCGGAAUUGUUGGAGGAAAGAUGAAAUUUGUUAAUACCAAUAGGACUGAUAACGGCGAAGGCAAACCUCUAUGUACAUGUACUUGCUAUCUCUAAAUUAGAGAGGAAAACAGCAAUGUGCUAUAACUGACGUUGAGGGACGAAGGCUCAGAGAGUGAAGAGGAUUAGAUACCCCCGUAACCUGGGCAGACAAUGAUGAGUGCCAUAGGUUGGCUUUAAGGCGGAACUAUAAAUGAAAGUGGAAGCACUCCACCUCAAGAGUAAUGUGGCAACGCAGGAACUGAAAUCAUUAGACCGUUUCUGAAACCAGUAGUGAAGUAUGUUAUUUAAUUCGAUGGAUCCGCA